rnacentral:antisense_RNA from 2 species
AGUAUCCCUUAGGCGGGUCAGCGCUUCCUGUAAGAAUGCAACCCCAGCCACUAACUGGGGUUGCAAAAAAAAACCGCCUACCAAGGCGGUUUUUUAUU